UGUUUCACUGGUGUCAUUUCUUUUUCAAGAUGGCGUUGGGUGACCGGGUAUACAAUUUGCUGUUUCGGAGAACGUCUACCUUUGCGUUAACAGUGAUUGUUGGCGCAAUUUUUUUUGAGCGAGCCUUUGAUCAGGCUGGGGAUGCGCUGUUCGAGCAAUUGAAUCGCGGGGUGAGUUGCUUCGGGAGUGGAUUAUGGACUGUAUAGAGAAUUGUGGUGAUCUGACCUCUUAGAGGACAUUGCUGCAGAUAUCUAAUGUUGGAUUUUCUUCAGUCUGGGAAGUGAUAAGGGAAACUCUGGAAACACAUUAAGCACAGUUAUGAGAAAACAGAUGAAUGAAGAUGCUGCAGGCUGUAUGGUGUCCAUUCUCAAGAGAACUUUCAAGGUCCACUGCUGUCUUCCAGUUGAAUUGAAUUGAAGGAUUCCAAGACUGAACUACCUGGUAGCAUGUGGAAGCCAAUUUUAUUUUGCUCCAUCUGUGCGUUUCACCAUGUAUUUAAACAAUACUGUGUAAGCUAUGGCUAAUAAAGUACACACACACAAAAAAAAAAAAAAAAACGGGGAGAAUGAAAUGCGAUUCCCUUCAUUUUAACUACAGUUAUGUAUUGCUUUAGCAGGUGAUUUAGUAACUUUUUACAGCAUUGAUAUUCUUUCCGUUGAGAUGCUAUAGCUUUCAGCAUAAUGAGGGUUCUUUUGACACACCCACUUCAUAAUUGCCAGCAAAGCUUCAUUGAACCUGUCUGUAACGAGUAUUGCAAUCAUGGUACAUAAGAUUUAUUGAGAAUCUGUGUCUACACACUUUUACAAUAUGCUUUAGGUCAAACAAUGUUGCUGUUUCUUUCCUAAAGAAAGUCCGGUCAUAUUUAUGGGUCUAAGUCUCUUGAGGUGGCUCCUGCCCUUGCUAGCUAGCAGACUUUCCUCAUCAAAUCAUUACAGUCUGCACUAGGUGGGUUGAUGUAGUCAUGGAGGGACUCUCUUUGAGUUGAACAGUGUACUUGAGCCCAGCUGGAAUAAGCACAACAGUCUUGAUGAGAUGGUCUCUCAAAUGUUACCAGGUAAGCUUCAAGGUCUUCUUCAUUGGUGAGUGGCUCGAGCAGAGGAGAUGACCUCUACUACACCAUUAAUUUUGCUACAGCUACCAUUCAUCAGCAGCGGUGGUAGCUAUCUUCUGCAGCUUUUCCACUGUAUUCAUCAUGCAACACAUCUCCCCUGCAACCUCUGAAACAACCUCCUGAUGAUAGACCGGUUACAGGGAACAUAGCACAUUAGUGGCAAAAUAUAGCACCCAAAGAAGGGGAAAAAUCCUCCUACUUCCCACACUGAAUUUUCUUCACUACUCAGCAGUGAUAGGUGAAAUCAGAAAUUCAGGGUUUGUGACUGAAGUGUCAUUUUCCCACUGCAGCCUCCAGAUGUAUCUAAUACCAGUGGUUUAGACUGGAUUUGGUUUUUUGUCCAUUAGAUGUCAGUAUGCACAUGUAGGUGUAUGCGUACACACUAAAUAAAAAGUAAACGGAUA